ACAGGCGUAGGCGAUGGAUAACAGGUUGAUAUUCCUGUACCACCUAGCAUCGUUUUAAUCGAUGGGGGGACGCAGUAGGAUAGGCGAAGCGUACGAUUGGAUUGUACGUCUAAGCAGUGAGAUUGAGGGUUAGGCAAAUCCGGCACUCUUAAGAUUGAGCUGUGAUGGGGAGAGGAAAUUGUUUCCUCGAGUCGUUGAUUUCACACUGCCGAGAAAAGCCUCUAGAUAGAUAAUAGGU
rnacentral:rRNA from 1 species